AUGGCUAAAAUCUGGUUGGGCCA
rnacentral:snRNA from 1 species